rnacentral:rRNA from 1 species
GAUGAACGCUAGCGAUAGGCUUAACACAUGCAAGUCGAGGGGCAGCAUAGAAGUAGCAAUACUUUGGUGGCGACCGGCGCACGGGUGAGUAACGCGUAUGCAACCUACCUAUCAGAGGGGAAUAACCCGGCGAAAGUCGGACUAAUACCGCAUAAAACAGGGGCACCGCAUGGUGAUAUUUGUUAAAGAAAUUCGCUGAUAGAUGGGCAUGCGUUCCAUUAGGUAGUUGGUGAGGUAACGGCUCACCAAGCCGACGAUGGAUAGGGGAACUGAGAGGUUGGUCCCCCACACUGGUACUGAGACACGGACCAGACUCCUACGGGAGGCAGCAGUGAGGAAUAUUGGUCAAUGGGCGAGAGCUUGAACCAGCCAAGUCGCGUGAAGGAAGAAGGAUCUAUGGUUCGUAAACUUCUUUUGCAGGGGAAUAAAGUGCGGGACGUGUCCUGUUUUGUAUGUACCCUGAGAAUAAGGAUCGGCUAACUCCGUGCCAGCCGCCGCAGUAAAAC